rnacentral:rRNA from 1 species
AGUCACUGCCAUACUACCCUGAACAUGCCCAAUCUCGUCUGAUCUCCCAUGCUAAGCAGGGUCAGGCCUGGUCAGCACUUGGAUGGGAGACCUGUGAUAUUAAAAUAGAGCAGUCAGAA